rnacentral:tRNA from 1 species
GGGCGUUUAACUCAGUUGGCUAGAGUGUCUCCCUUACAAGGAGAAAGUCGGGGGUUCGAGUCCCUCAACGCCCA